UUUUCCUAUUUAGUUUUCUUU
rnacentral:snRNA from 1 species